UACGUAGGGUGCGAGCGUUAAUCGGAAUUACUGGGCUUAAAGGGUGCGCAGGCGGUUCUUCAAGUCAGGCGUGAAAGCCCCGGGCUUAACCUGGGAAUGGCGCUUGAAACUACAGGACUGGAGUAUGGCAGAGGGAGGUGGAAUUCCACGUGUAGCGGUGAAAUGCGUAGAGAUGUGGAGGAACACCGAUGGCGAAGGCAGCCUCCUGGGCCAAUACUGACGCUCAUGCACGAAAGCGUGGGGAGCAAACAGG
rnacentral:rRNA from 1 species